UAAGGAAUAUUGGACAAUGGACGCAAGUCUGAUCCAGCCAUGCCGCGUGAAGGAUUAAGGCCCUCUGGGUUGUAAACUUCUUUUAUAGGGGACGAAAAAGGGGCUUUCUAGCUCAACUGACGGUACCCUAUGAAUAAGCACCGGCUAACUCCGUGCCAGCAGCCGCGGUAAUACGGAGGGUGCAAGCGUUAUCCGGAUUCACUGGGUUUAAAGGGUGCGUAGGCGGGCAUUUAAGUCAGUGGUGAAAUCUUGGGGCUCAACCCCGAAACUGCCAUUGAUACUAUUUGUCUUGAAUACUGUGGAGGUUAGCGGAAUAUGUCAUGUAGCGGUGAAAUGCUUAGAUAUGACAUAGAACACCGAUUGCGAAGGCAGCUGGCUACACAAAUAUUGACGCUGAGGCACGAAAGCGUGGGGAUCAAACAGG
rnacentral:rRNA from 1 species